UGUUAUGAAGUCCCCUUAUAUUCUGUUAGUCUUUUCCAGCACUGUUUUGUGUCUGUGACCUACUUUUGGACAGCAACAUCGUCUAACCUUCAGUCAACAGAUUCUAAGAAUCUGACCAUCAAUUUUUGCUGAGAUUAAACUAUGUUACUCUACUCCAUCCCUACUUCAUUUAACCUAGUGUUCAUCAGAUGGUUGGUUCAUGAGUUGAUAGGUUUUUUGAGCUUGCUAACUUACUUUUUAUUUAGUUUCUAUUUUCUGUCCAUGUCAGUUUUUGUCCAUCCAACCAUUAACUUCUUUUGGUAUCUUUACCAUUUUAAUCACCCCCAUAGGUCCUCUAGAAUAUAUUAAUCGCAUCUUCAUCGAGUUCAUUGUUUGAAAGUUCUGUCCACUCUUAAGUUUCUGCUGUAUUUUAGGCUCAAUGUGAUUCUGUUUUUUAUAGGUUUGUUAGUGUUGAUUUGUUUCAGCCUUCCAUACCUCAUCAUUCAGCUUGGCAGUUGACCAGAAAAUUAGAGCUUUCCAAUUUGUCCAUCUCAAGUUAUAAUUUUAUCCUUUUCGUUGUUCUGUUUUGUAUAUAUUGGUUAUCCUGGUUCUGCUAGUUCUGGUGUUUUAGUAUGGAGCUGGUCUUACACUGUGUACUUGUGUCAUUGAGUUUUCCCAUCACUGACUUUUUCAAGAUGCGCUCCUUUUGCAGGGCUGUAGCACUUGCACCAACAGUUGAUAAAGGAUUGUCAUGGUUCACAAUGAAGUUCAAGUUUGAGUCUCAGGGAAAGGCAUUUAUGGCAAUUGUGGGUCUCUGUUUUGGGUUGGCUCUUAUGCUAUUCCUUUUGGUGACACUGCUUUGGGCUUGAUUAUUUCUUCUAGUUGUCCUCACAUGGAAUAAUGGUGGUUUAUUCGCUCUUGAAACACCGGCAUCUUGUCAUUUCUCUGAAUAUAUUACUGUGAUAUGGUUAGAAAAGGUUGAUCUUCAGUUCUCAGUUUUAGCUCUGCACUAUCUCCUCCUACGAGUUACUGUUUUUGAAUAUAUUCAAUUUUCAGAUUGUGUUGCGGCAUCAAGUUAUAGACGAGAUUAGUUAAUGUUUUUUUUUUUUCUUAGAUACUUUUUAAUACAUAUGCUAAUUGUUGCAAAUGAGUUAUGCAGCUGUGCAUUCUUGAUUUUUUGGUACUGUAAUGUAAUAGGUCAAGUCUGAUGUGUCCCUCCCGUCCGGUCAAAGGGUGCUGUGCUGUUCUUGAUUUUUUUGGUACUGUAUUGUAAAUGGGUCAAAUCCAAUGUGUUAUGUACAUUGCUAACCAAUGUUAAUCAAUUGUUGGAAAAAGUUAACUGUUGGC